rnacentral:tRNA from 1 species
GCCCCCGCGUGCACACCAACUGAGCCCGGGUGGACCCACCUGAGCCUGUUUCGUUCGGUCUUCUAAACCGCAGGUCGCAGGUUCGAGUCCUGCCCGGGGGCG